AACGAACGCUGGCGGCAUGCCUAACACAUGCAAGUCGAACGAGACCUUCGGGUCUAGUGGCGCACGGGUGCGUAACGCGUGGGAACCUGCCCUUAGGUUCGGAAUAAUUCCCCGUAAGGGGUGCUAAUACCGGAUAAUGUCUUCGGACCAAAGAUUUAUCGCCUUUGGAUGGGCCCGCGUUGGUUUAGCGAGUUGGUAGGGUAAAAGCCUACCAAGGCGACGAUCCUUAGCUGGUGUGAGAGGAUGAUCAGCCACACUGGGACUGAGACACGGCCCAGACUCCUACGGAAGGCAGCAGUGGGGAAUAUUGGACAAUGGGCGAAAGCCUGAUCCAGCAAUGCCGCGUGAGUGAUGAAGGCCUUAGGGUUGUAAAGCUCUUUGACCCGAGAUGAUAAUGACAGUACCGGGAGAAUAAGCACCGGCUAACUCCGUG
rnacentral:rRNA from 1 species